rnacentral:rRNA from 1 species
UACGGAGGGUGCGGCGUUGUCCGGAAUCACUGGGCGUAAAGGGCGCGUAGGCGGCGCGGGAAGUCAUCGGUGAAAGUUCAGGGCUCAACUCUGAAUCGGCCGGUGAUACUCUCGUGCUCGAGCACUGUAGAGGCAGGUGGAAUUCCGGGUGUAGCGGUGGAAUGCGCAGAUAUCAGGAGGAACACCAAUGGCGAAGGCAGAUCUCUGGGCCGUAACUGACGCUGAGGAGCGAAAGCAUGGGGAGCGAACAGG